CCUACCCUCGGGUGGGGGAUAACCUCGGGAAACUGAGGUUAAUCCCCCAUAGGGGAGGAGGUUUGGAAUGAUCCCUCCCCGAAAGCCCGUAAGGGCGCCCGAGGAUGGGGCUGCCGCGGAUUUGGUAGUUGGUGGGCUAACGGCCCACCAAGGCUACGAUCCGUACGGGCCCAGAGACGGGGAGCCGGGAGAUGGACACUGAGACACGGGUCCUGGCCCUACGGGGCCCAGCAGGCGCCAAACCACCGCAAUGCGGGAAAGCGCGACGGGGCCACCCCGAGUGCCCUCCCUUUGGGAGGGCUUUUCCGGAGUGUAAACAGCUCCGGGAAUAAGGGCUGGGCAAGUCCGGUGCCAGCAGCCGCGGUAAUACCGGCGGCCCAAGUGGUGGCCACUGUUAUUGGGCCUAAAGCGUCCGUAGCCGGCCCGGUAAGUCCCUGCUUAAAUCCCGCGGCUUAACCGCGGGGCUGGCAGGGAUACUGCCGGGCUAGGGACCGGGAGAGGCCGGGGGUACCCCAGGGGUAGCGGUGAAAUGCGUUGAUCCCUGGGGGACCACCUGUGGCGAAGGCGCCCGGCUGGAACGGGUCCGACGGUGAGGGACGAAGGCCGGGGGAGCAAACCGGAUUAGAUACCCGGGUAGUCCCGGCUGUAAACUCUGCGGACUAGGUGUCGCGUGCCCUUCGGGGGCACGCGGUGCCGAAGGGAAGCCGUUAAGUCCGCCGCCUGGGGAGUACGGUCGCAAGACUGAAACUUAAAGGAAUUGGCGGGGGAGCACUACAACGGGUGGAGCCUGCGGUUUAAUUGGAUUCAACGCCGGGAAUCUCACCAGGGGCGACGGCAGGAUGAAGGCCAGGUUGACGACCUUGCCAGACGCGCCGAGAGGUGGUGCAUGGCCGUCGUCAGCUCGUACCGUGAGGCGUCCUGUUAAGUCAGGUAACGAGCGAGACCCGUGC
rnacentral:rRNA from 1 species